CCAACGGCCCUCAUUAGGGCCAAACUCAAAUUCCAAACCAAGUUG
rfam:Pristionchus pacificus strain PS312 contig4019, whole genome shotgun sequence.